rnacentral:rRNA from 1 species
ACGCUGGCGGCGUGCCUAAUACAUGCAAGUCGAGCGGACAGAUGGGAGCUUGCUCCCUGAUGUUAGCGGCGGACGGGUGAGUAACACGUGGGUAACCUGCCUGUAAGACUGGGAUAACUCCGGGAAACCGGGGCUAAUACCGGAUGGUUGUUUGAACCGCAUGGUUCAAACAUAAAAGGUGGCUUCGGCUACCACUUACAGAUGGACCCGCGGCGCAUUAGCUAGUUGGUGAGGUAACGGCUCACCAAGGCAACGAUGCGUAGCCGACCUGAGAGGGUGAUCGGCCACACUGGGACUGAGACACGGCCCAAACUCCUACGGGAGGCAGCAGUAGGGAAUCUUCCGCAAUGGACGAAAGUCUGACGGAGCAACGCCGCGUGAGUGAUGAAGGUUUUCGGAUCGUAAAGCUCUGUUGUUAGGGAAGAACAAGUACCGUUCGAAUAGGGCGGUACCUUGACGGUACCUAACCAGAAAGCCACGGCUAACUACGUGCCAGCAGCCGCGGUAAUACGUAGGUGGCAAGCGUUGUCCGGAUUAUUGGGCGUAAAGGGCUCGCAGGCGGUUUCUUAAGUCUGAUGUGAAAGCCCC